CCUACGGGUGGCAGCAGUGGGGAAUAUUGCACAAUGGGGGAAACCCUGAUGCAGCGACGCCGCGUGAGUGAAGAAGUAUUUCGGUAUGUAAAGCUCUAUCAGCAGGGAAGAAAUACUGACCUUACGGUCAGCAGACGGUACCUGACUAAGAAGCCCCGGCUAACUACGUGCCAGCAGCCGCGGUAAUACGUAGGGGGCAAGCGUUAUCCGGAUUUACUGGGUGUAAAGGGAGCGUAGACGGCAGCGCAAGUCUGAAGUGAAAGCCCAUGGCUUAACCAUGGAACUGCUUUGGAAACUGUGCAGCUGGAGUGCAGGAGAGGUAAGCGGAAUUCCUAGUGUAGCGGUGAAAUGCGUAGAUAUUAGGAGGAACACCAGUGGCGAAGGCGGCUUACUGGACUGUAACUGACGUUGAGGCUCGAAAGCGUGGGGAGCAAACAGGAUUAGAUACCCGAGUAGUC
rnacentral:rRNA from 1 species